rnacentral:lncRNA from 1 species
GCUAGGCACUUUAUAGUCAUUCCUCAGUACCUGUGGGCGACUGGUUCCAAAACUCCCUGAGGCUAUCAAAAUCUGUAGAUGCUCAAGUCCCUUAUAUAAAUGGUGUAGUAUUUGCAUAUAAACUACAAACAUCCUGCCCUAUACUUUAAAUCACCUCUAGAUUACUUACAAUACCUAACACAGUGUAAAUGCUAUGGAGAUGGUUGUUAAACUGUAUUGCUUAGGGAAUAAGGACAAGAAAAGUCUGUAUGUGUUCAGUACGGAUGCUUUUUUGUUUCCAAAUAUUUUCUAUCUAUGGUUGGCUGAAUCAACAAAUACAUAGCCCAUGGAUAAGGAGGGCCAACUGUGUAAGCGUGUAUUUAUUAGCCCCC